AUCUGAUUCUUCUUCAAGGAGCUCCGUAAUUGAGUUGAGAACAUUCUCCAAGUGAUUUCAUGCGUAGAAGCCUCGUGGUUUGGAAGAUAUGAGUCAAACAAUGAACAUAUAUCUUUACUGCUUUCCAUGAUCAAGCCAUGCAUGCCUGUUUUGCCCGGUGCGCUACCCCACGGCACAUCAUUCCCUCCCUCUUGAAAAGGAUUUGACCUCAAAUCCAUUUCACCUCUAUCAAAAGGAAAUGAAUAAGAGAAAACGAAUUUUAAAAUCAUAUAAAAUUCAAUGAAGGAAAAGUAUGGACAGAAACUUCCUUGGAGUUUUGGACUUGUUUUCCUCAAGUACUUCCAGUUCCAUGUCCCUGAUACAUAAGAACUUUGGCGUUCACCAGUGUUUUCUCUCCUUGGGAACUGAUCAUACUUAUCCUGUACUUUCAAAACAACUAGGGAAACCACAUCAAAUCUGCGAGAGAAAUAAUCAAAGAGUUUCUCUAUCCUUAGGACAUCAAGAACAUGAUCCAAGCUCUUAGGAUAA
rnacentral:lncRNA from 1 species